rnacentral:lncRNA from 1 species
AGUUCUCAAUCAUGGAGUUCGACUACCCACGCUCAGGUGUUGGAUUCGAAAUCCUAGAAGUAGUAGAUUAGAUCUAUUACUAAUUAUUGAUUUUUGGUUCACAUACUUAUUGUUUUAAAUUCAAAUUUUUAUGUAUAUAAAUUCAUGUUAUAGAUCCAUUUAUCAAAAUUUUAAAGAUUAGAUCUUACGCAUGCAUUUGUAGAUUAAAUAGUUUAAUCUAAUAUUCUUUCAUUGAAAAUAUUUUGAAAUGCAUGCAUGAAACCCCUGUGUAUCUCAACAAUUAGAUCUGAUUUUUAUCAUAGAAAAUCAAAGAAGAAAAGUUCUUCUUGAAGGUGUG